rnacentral:rRNA from 1 species
GACGAACGCUGGCGGCGUGCCUAAUACAUGCCAGUAGAACGCAGUUACGAACGGGUGAGUAACGCGUAGGUAACUGCCGGGUAACGGGGAAUAACUCUGGGAAACGAUAGCUAAUCCCGCAUACUACAAGCUGGACCUGCGUUUUAUUACCUAGUUGGUGAGGGAAGUGCUCACCAAGGCAACGAUACAUAGCCAACUUGAUGCUAUGAUCCGCCAACCGGGGAUGGAGACACGGCCCAGACUCCUACGUGAGGCAGCAUUGGGGAAUUUUGGACAAUGGGCGCAAGCCUGAUCCAGCCAUGCCGCGUGUCUGAAGAAGGCCUUCGGGUGGUAAAGGACUUUGGUCAGGGACGCGGUACCUGAAGAAUAAGCACCGGCUAACUACGUGCCAGCAGCCGCGGUAAUUC